rnacentral:lncRNA from 1 species
UUGGACUCAGAUCUUAAGGGAGGUUUUGCAGGAACUCAGUCGGGGUUGUUUGUGAGUCAGAUGUCUGGUGUGAGAUGAAGAAGAAGACCCAUCUCCUCCAUUUUGUUCUUCUUCACUCUCUCCUCUUCUUGGGCUGCCUCGCUCUCUGUUCUGCGGAGCAGAUCUCUAUUUCCAGCCAUGGCCACCUCACUGACGCGGAAGUUAUGUACAUUAAGCGGCGUCAACUUCUGUACUACAGAGACGAGUUUGGUGACAGAGGGGAGGAUGUGACUGUGGAUCCUUCUCUGGUGUUUGAGAACCCUAGGCAGAGGAACGCCUACAUUGCGUUGCAAGCUUGGAAACAGGCCAUUCUAUCUGAUCCUCUUAAUCUUACGCUCAACUGGGUUGGAUCUAAUGUGUGUAACUACACCGGGGUUUACUGCGCACAAGCUCCGGACAAUUCGUCCAUCCGUACCGUCGCCGGCAUUGAUCUCAACCAUGGAGACAUCGCCGGGUACUUGCCGGAGGAGCUAGGUCUGCUAACUGAUCUUGCAUUGUUCCACAUCAACUCCAACCGCUUCUGUGGGACUGUUCCGCAUAAGUUUGCGAAGCUCAAGAUACUGUUUGAAUUGGAUCUCAGCAACAAUAGGUUCGCCGGGAAGUUCCCGGAAGUGGUGCUUCACUUGCCAACGCUGAAAUUCUUAGAUCUGCGAUUCAAUGAGUUUGAAGGAACCGUGCCGAAGGAGCUGUUUGAUAAGGAUUUGGACGCCAUUUUCAUCAACCACAACAGGUUCGCCUUCGAUCUGCCUGACAACUUCGGUAACUCGCCGGUGUCGGUGAUAGUUGUAGCGAACAACAAGCUCCACGGCUGCGUGCCGGCGAGUCUGGGCAACAUGGCGGACACGCUGAAUGAGAUAAUUCUGAUGAAUAAUCAGUUCCGAUCGUGCUUGCCUGUUGAGAUCGGAUUGUUGAAGAAUUUAACUGUGUUGGAUGUCAGUUACAAUGGAUUGUUGGGACCGUUGCCGAAAGAGAUUGGUGGAAUGGUGGAGCUUGAGCAGCUCAAUGUGGCUCACAAUAUGCUCUCUGGGAGUAUUCCUGCCAGUAUUUGUAAGCUUCCAAAUCUUGAAAAUUUUACAUUUUCAUAUAAUUUCUUCACCGGCGAGCCACCGGCAUGUUUGGGUUUGGCGGAUUUCGAAGAUAGGAGGAAUUGCUUGCCAGGGAGGCCGGAGCAGAGGUCCGCCGGGCAAUGUAACUCGUUUUUGUCCCGACCUGUUGAUUGUAGCUCUUUCAGGUGUUCUCCUUUUGUUCCUUCUUUACCUACUCCCCCACCACCCUCACCACCGGUGUUCCCCUCUCCACCCCCGACACCGGUUUACUCACCUCCACCGGUGUUCUCGCCUCCGCCACCGGUGCUCUCUUCCCCACCACCACCAUCACCGCCACCGCCAUCUCCUUCGCCUCCACCACCUCCAGUUUACUCCCCUCCUCCACCUCCACCAGUUUACUCACCUCCACCACCCCCUCCUCCCCCACCGCCACCACCACCUGUUUAUUUUCCGCCACCACCUCCACCUUCACCACCACCACCGUCUCCCCCUCCACCCUCACCCCCACCACCUUCUCCAUCACCGCCUCCCCCUCCCUCGCCACCACCACCGGUAUUAUCGCCCCCGCCUCCAGUUUAUUGCGUCCGUUCCCCACCACCGCCACCGCCAAAUUCUCCCCCGCCUCCCAUUUAUUCUCCACCACCACCUCCAGUUCAUUCACCGCCCCCACCAAGUCCUUACUAUAGUUCACCACCGCCCCCGCCGCCACAUCAUUCACCUCCACCACCUCCCCACUCGCCACCCCCGCCUCCACCUAUCUAUCCAUACGCAUCACCGCCACCGCCACCCGUGCAUUCCCCACCACCACCUGUCCAUUCUCCACCACCUCCAUGCAUAGAACCGCCUCCUCCUUCUCCACCACCCCCAUCACCACCUCCAUGCAUAGAACCGCCUCCUCCUCCUUCUCCACCACCAUGUGUAGAAUAUUCGCCACCUCCACCAUCACCACACUCACCACCGCCACCACCAGUUCAUUACUUGCCUCCACCAUCACCAUCACCCCCACCACCACCUGUGUAUGCUUCUCCGCCACCUCCACCAUCUCUGCCUCCCCCAGUUUACUACCAUUCUCCGCCCCCACCCUCACCACCUCCUCCAACCCCAUGUGAAAAUCCUCCACCUACUCCAUCACCACCGCCCCCAAUCAUUUAUGAGAGCCCACCACCUCCAACCCCUGUAUAUGAGGGGCCAUUGCCACCAAUCUUUGGAGUUUCAUACGCUUCUCCACCGCCACCACCCUUCUAUUGAUUCUUUUGAGAAUUUUCCUCCUCUUGACAUUUCCUCAAAGAAACAAAAUUUACAAUUAUAUUAGUGGUCAUGGCCUCUUUUCCCUG